AAUAGAAUUUCUAACUAAGUACAAAUCUCAAAUUAAAAAUUGAGAUUUUAGCACCUACUCUUUUAAUUUAUUUAAUUUCAGUAAUUUGAGCGCUCUUUAGAUGCAAAAUUUAAACUAAUGAAUUUAUAGUUAUGUGAACUGUGUAAAAUAUAUUAAUUAAAUCCGUAAAAAUAAAUGACCCAUUCAAAUUUUAAAAUUGAACAGUCGCUAACUGUUUCAAAUUAAAUAAAUUAAAUGGUCAGAUAGUAAAAUCAAAAUUUUUAAAGGUUAAGUAGUUAUUUGAUAUAGUUGAGUGAAAAAAAAGGGGCUUAAGUCAAUUAAAUAAUAGUUGAGGGGU
rnacentral:lncRNA from 1 species